GUUAGGAUCUGGACCAAAGGAAGAUGAAGAAUCACCUUGGGAUUCAGAUGAUGAGAAUGUUCCACAAUCAGGGUUGACAAAGCCAAUGAUUGCUUCUCAGCAACCCCUAAAAAUUGUAAAGGCACAAUGUACUAUGAGAACAGAAAAUGGAACCAUGAUUGAGGACAGUAUUUCUAAUCAUCCACAUGUGGUUCAACGCCUUCGCACAACAUCAGUCAAAAUGCAGGGCUUUCAUCAUCCUUCCUUUCAACCACCUGGCACUGGUGAGAAAACUUCCUUCAAGGCUUCAACUAA
rnacentral:lncRNA from 1 species